rnacentral:rRNA from 1 species
UACGUAGGGACCGAGCGUUGUCCGGAUUCAUUGGGCGUAAAGGGCUCGUAGGCGGCCAACUAAGUCGGAUGUGAAAUCCCCAAGCUUAACUUGGGAACUGCAUCCGAUACUGGAUGGCUUGAAUCCGGGAGAGGGAUGCAGAAUUCCAGGUGUAGCGGUGAAAUGCGUAGAUAUCUGGAGGAAUACCGGUGGCGAAGGCGGCAUCCUGGACCGGCAUUGACGCUGAGGAGCGAAAGCUAGGGGAGCAAACGGG